rnacentral:antisense_RNA from 1 species
GCUCCAGAACUCAAUUGGAGAAGAGGGGCAAAGGGGGCAAAGGCAGCACGAUUUAUUUUCUUGUACAUGCCAGGGAAGGCCUUUAAUUUUGUCUUCAUGUUCUACACAUAGGACAGUCAAAAGAGCAUUACAAAAUGUACGUUAUUUAGAAAGGAGUUGGGAUGUGAAGGACCUCUUCAAGGAGAACUACAAACCCACUGCUCAAGGAAAUAAAAGAGGAAACAAACAAAUGGAAGAACAUUCCAUGCUCAUGGAUAGGAAGAAUCAAUAUCGUGAAAAUGGCCAUACUGCCAAAGGUAAUUUAUAGAUUCAAUACCAUCCCCAUCAAGCUACCAAUGACUUUCUUCACAGAAUUGGAAAAAACUACUUUAAAGUUCAUAUGGCACCAAAAAAGAGCCCACAUUGCCAAGUCAAUCCUAAGCCAAAAGAACAAAACUGGAGGCAUCACGCUACCUGACUUCAAACUAUACUACAAGACUACAGUAACCAAAACAGCAUGAUACUGGUACCAAAACAGAGAUACAGACCAAUGGAACAGAACAGAGCCCUCAGAAAUAAUACCACACAUUUACAACUAUCUGAUCUUUGACAAACCUGAGAAAAACAAGCAAUGGGGAAAGGAUUCCCUAUUUAACAAAUGGUGCUGGGAAAACUGGCUAGCCAUAUGUAGAAAGCUGAAACUGGAUUCCUUCCUUACACCUUAUACAAAAAUUAAUUCAAGAUGGAUUAAAGACUUAAAUGUUAGACCUAAAACCAUAAAAACCCUAGAAGAAAACCUAGGCAUUACCAUUCA